UGCCAAGGUCAAAGGGAGCUUCAAGUCAGACACAUUAUAUCUUAGUGGUGCAAUUGACAGGGAAACAAGGAAGGGAGACUCAACUCAACUUGUAGCAAUGAAGUUGGAACUGGAGAACCUUAGCACACGACGAGAGGCCGCAAAGGCAAGCACUCUUGAAGAAAAUGCUCAAGUGCUAAAGUUGUCAUAGGAGAAUGCACUAAGAUGCAAUCACAACGAAAUUGUGCUGGGGCAGAGGCACAUGAUCUAGACAUUUACAUAACAACCUUCAACAAAGUCGAUGAAACUCCAAGAGCUAUUGGGAGACGAAUUAGCCCAAAGCUAAGCAUCAUUCAUGGGUGGCUCGAUGCUGUGGGAAUGGAUGAACAUCGAUGGGCAAAGGUCCUACAACGGGAAGGUUGCAGAUCGCGUUUCCAAUAAAAGAUAAAAGGAUUGCUGGGAUGUCACCAAGCGAUGACUCAAAGCAGAGGCCCGUUCAGGGCAAGGUGAUACCCUACGUAGGAAGUCCUAUGAGGGAUUUAAUCAUCCGAGGGAUGGUUGGUUGGAGAUGUUAGGAGCUUCAUUUCAGUGGGCAACACGACGAGAAAAGGCUAUGGAUGCAACAAGUGAAUUUCAUGGUAUCAUAGAGAUGAUCUUUCGUGUGUGAACCAAAUUGACAUCAAAUGAAGUUGCAGACAUCUACAAAUGAAUGGCAGUACCAUAGAGGUGGAUCUUUCUAGUACAUGCCAUGAAGUCCAAUGAGGGAUUUGAUCAUACAAAGGUAUGAUCAAAGAUUAUAAAUGAACUUCUCUAGAGCAUACAUUCGCUCGAGGGAGCCCAACACAGUCGGUGGACAAGUUUGAACAAACGAACGUUGCUACCAGUGAUGCCACAAAGAAUAAAGGCAUGCAAGUUAGCGUGAACCCUAUAACAAGAAAACAAAGGCCGCGUAAAGGAGUUAUAGUAUGUGUUUUUAUUGACCGGAGAGGAGAUACUUAAUAAACACAAAGGUGUUAACACAAAUAGUCAAAAAGGUGUAAGGAAACAAUGAUAAGUCCAAAGGGACUUGGCUACCCAAGAUCAAGCGAAGAGAUGAAUGGGAGUGACAUGAUGUUGUAGUGGUGGAUUCUACCAAUUGCGAAGAAAAGGGAUGCGGAUGCAAAAUGAUGGAUAGUAGGGCCGUGGACACGAGAGAGCUUCUUGAUACCACAGAAAUGGGACUUUCGAACUAUUAUGGAUACUUUUCUCUCAUCAAAAAGAGCAUUAUGGUUGAGAAAGGGGACCAAUGCAGUAAAUAAUGCAAUGAUAACCUCCAAGAACAAAAGACAAGGUAGGACAAUUGCUAGAGGGCUUUGCUAGGCCUUCGUCAAAAAGCUUUUUAUCAAGUUAGCUGAAACUAGGGGACUUCAGAUUAAUGCGAUGGUUUUCAACUAAAGGAGGAGUAGGUGGCACGCGAUGUUGUAUCCUUUACUGCUCAAUGGAGUAGACGACAGAUGAAGUCAAUACACCCCCAAAGGAUGACUAGGUUUAUCAAAGACUUGUUCCAAUCUUGGUGAAAUUUUGCUCUUUUUAAGGAAACACUUAUUGCAUUUCAAAAGUAAGAGGCAAAACGGAAGCAAAGUCAAAUAGCCAAUUUAUGCAAUAAGUGUAUCUCGAGGAGGCAAGCCAAGUCAAGUAGCCAACUUAUGCAAGAAUUGUAUCACGAGGAGGCAAGCCAAGUCAGAUAACCUUGGUAUCCUCAACUUUUAAAAGAAUAAGCAGAACCAAGUACCUCAUUAUCCACCCAAUAAAAUGACAUCAAAAUGCAUAGUUAAUGUGAAUCUACCUAGAGGCAAGGGCUAGGCAAAAGAGUGAAUCGAUUAGUAAAAAUUUACAAAGAAGGCC
rnacentral:lncRNA from 1 species